GCUUACGGCCACACCGCCUGGUUCACGCCCGAUCUCGUUUGAUCUCGGAAGCUAAGAUAGGUUGGGCCUGGUUAGUACUUGGAUGGGAGACCGCCUAGGAAUACCAGGUGCUGUAGCCU
rnacentral:rRNA from 1 species